CCUUCCUUUCUGCUCCCUAAUUCUCAUAUACCUUGUUGAUUCUCCUUUUAAAUACUCAAGGAAAUGUUAGCCGUUCCCUUCCAGAGGCUACUUUGCUGGGGAGAUGAUGGUGUGGUCUGCUGUCGUGAGCUCCUAGAGGCUGCCUGCAUUUCUUAGCUCCUGGCCCCUUCGUCUGUCUUCAAAAUGCAUCACUUCAAGCUCUGCUUUCAUCGUUCCAUCUUCUACUGACUUUGACCUUCUUGCCUCCCUUGGACUUGUUUACAUGGGACCCAUGGGAAUAAUCCAUGGUCAAUGGGAAUAAUCUUCCCACCACAAGAUCCAUACUUUAAUCACACCAGCAAUGUCCAUUUUGCCAUAUCAGAAACACACUCUCCG
rnacentral:lncRNA from 10 species